rnacentral:sRNA from 1 species
GGGGUUGCAAACAAAGCAGCAGAUGGAUUAUCUCGUAUUCAGCAUCCUGUUUAUGCAUUGUUGUUGG